rnacentral:lncRNA from 1 species
UCCCGCUAUUUGCAUGAGGAUUAUCUAAUGACGCAGCAAGGCUCGCCACAACGUGACCGUCGCCAUUUUUCUGUUUUUAUUCUAUCUCUGCCAUGUGAUAGAUGGGGGGGAGGGGGGGAGGUUGGAAAAGGGAGAGAGACAGGAUUAAAAAAAAAAAAAAAACUUCCGGGUCUCAUGACCGGGAAGGGAGAAAAACAAAAGGGAGACGAGACACAACUCCAGGGGAAGGGUGUGUGUGCGUGUGUGCGUGUGUGCGCGCCCUCCCCGCCUCUGCUCCGGCGGCCGGCCAGGAGCAUCCUCCCACCUGGGGACCCGGAUCGCACCGCUCGCCGUGGCGGUCGCCUGUGCCGGCCCCACGCCCGCCGCCAACGCUCUGCGAAGCUGUCAGCUCGGUCCCUCCUCGUCGCCUCCACUUGCCGGUCCACCCCAGAGCUCGCGCUCGCGUUCCGGGACGGGCAGGCCGUUCUGGGUCCCGUGUUCACGGUGGCUGAAGAGACAGUGUGUUUGGGAGCUCUGCCACGUUUUUCGACUCCGAAAGGUUGGUGAAGUGUCAGCUGUGAUUUCACCCCGCUCAACCUGGAAUCUCAUUAUCCGAGGCAGCGUUCUUAAUGAGACUGGUUUGUCCUGGAGCCUAUGAACUGGGUGAGGAGGCUGGCAGUCGAGCAGGCUGAAGAGGCUGCUGAAAAGAUGUCAGCAUCUGGACAAGAAGUGCACAUUUGCAACUUUAAAAGGCUGGAGAGUAACUGAUGCAUGCAAUUAUAUUUAUGGCUCGGAGGAGGGUCUGGGUUGUCACAGAUGAGCUCAUACACAUCCGGAAUGUUGAACUUCCCUUGCAUAGCUCAACACAAAAUGCCCAUGUUCCUUUGGAUUGGGCAGUCGAAGCUGGGAUUACUGACAGUAACAUCUACAGCCCAUGUUUUGUCCUAGGCAAUAACAGUGUGGUAGUAAUUUUAAGUGUAACCAUAUCACCUUCCAGCAAGGUGGAGACGAAGUCUACUUAUAUGUAAAGUCAUGUGCUCCCUUAAGUAAAAAGCUGAGCAGAGAAAAAAGGAACAGCACUCAAACCACCCCCCCGCCCCCAAGGAAUUGCCUCCAUAGCUCUUGUCUUCUACACAUGUGCACUCAGACGUCAUUACAGAGAAGAUCAAACUUGAGUGGUCUGGGGUGCUCCAUCGCUGUUGAUUAAAGAGAGUUCUUCUGGGCACUCCAGCAAUCUUCCAUCUCUCCCGUACACAUUUGAAAAAUGGCAGUUCCUGGUGUGUGAGAGCAUAGCCUUUGGAAUUAGGUCCUAAUCUCAGCUCUGCCAGACUAUUAGCUGUAUCAUCCUGGACAGGUUACUCAUCAGCUCUGAUUCUCAGUUACUUUACUCAUAAAAGGAGCAUAAGAACACCUAGCUCAAAGAGGAGUUUUUAGGAUUGAAAUUUAAUCAAAAUUUAAUAAAAUAUAUGUAAAGCCCCUAGCACGAUACUGGGAGCUUAAUCUUCAAAAACAAGCAGCUGUAACAAUUUUUUAAUUGUAUUUUUGUUUACCCCAUACACUUCAUAGAAUUAUUCUUUUCCUUUUGGCUUCCUGCUCUUGAAAAUUCAACGAACCUACUAUUAGUGAAAGUUCUGUGAUUACGAAGAUAAGCGAGAAUAGGUCCUGCCCUCAGGAAGUUCACCCUUCAGCCUUGGAGAAAUACCUAUAGAAGCAACUGUGCUGAUGCUGGCGGGCUGAAGGCAAGCGCCUGGGCCCUCACACUUUGUGAUGACCUGCCCUAGAAGUAUUUAACUAAGAUGUAGAUUUAUUAAUACUCAGGCAAUGGCAAAGCUUAUGGAAGCAGUUAGGAAAAUGGCCUCCCCUGAGCAAGCAAACAAAAUCUCACAUUUUCACAAAAAUGAGGAUUACUUUUAAAACUCCAUCUAAUUAGUAUAAUUCUGCAGUUUUCGAAAAUUUUCUGGUCCAGUAUAACAGGCAGCCUCUUUUUUUGCAUUUGUGUGAAAAAUAUGCCAGGUUGUACCUUUGAGGUAAUGUUGGAGAAAUGUAGUUAAUAGGAAGCACUUCUGGUUGUUAAUUAAUUAGACCACUUUAAUCAAGAACUAUUUUCUGGGAAACUUAUUCCCAGCCCUGGGUCAGGUGCUAAGGAAACAAAGAUGAUGCAGAUACAGACUUUGCCCUUCAGGAACUCAUUCCACAAAUGUUUGUUGAUCACCUACUGGGGAUGCAGUGGUAAGACGUUGAGCUUACCAGAGGGAGAUUACAUACAGAUCUUCCUCAACUUACCGUGGGGUCACAUCCUGAUAAACCCAUCGUAAGUGGAAAAUAUCAUAAGUCAAUAAUGCAUUUAGUACAUCUAAACUACCAAACGUCAUAGCUUAGCCUAGCUUACCUUAAACGUGCUCAGAACACUUACAUUAGCCUAUAGUUGGGCAAAAUCAUCUAACAGAAAGACUAUUUUAUAAUAAAGUGUUGACUAGCUCAUGCAAUUGAUUGAAUGCUAUACUGAGAGUGAAAAGGAGAAUGGCCAUGUGGGUACAGAAUGGUUGUAAGUGUGUCAGUUUUUAUCGUAUGAUCUCGGGGUUGCAGGGCACUGCAGGGGCUGCCCCUGCCCAGCAUCACAAGAGACGACCAUAUGGCACAUGGCUAGCCUGGGAAAAGAUCACAAUUCAAAAUUCGAAGUCCACUGUCUACUGAAUGCCUAUCACUUUCGCACCAUUGUAAGGUUGAAAAAUUGUAGGUGGACCCAUUGUAAUUUGGGGACUGUCUGUGAGCACAUACCUUUCCAGCUCAAGAAGUGUUUGAUUGACAGGGUUUGGGCAAGGCAAAAAUAUAUAUAUUGCCCCUCCCCCAGAAUGUUUUAUGUUCCUCAAAACAAAGAGCAACUCUUGAAAGAAUAUUCUGGACGCUACAGCCCAAGUGGACCUGGGACUCUCGCUGGCGUUAGGCGGAAUUGUGAGGAGCGAAGUUGUGUUCGAUUCCCCCAGAGCCGGGCCUAUUUGAAUAGCUUUCUGGCCUCUCAGUUCCUGUCUUUCUGAACCGUUUGGCUCUCCAAAGGACUGCCGCAAUGAGGAUUCGACAACACAAACCCAAUUAUAUGAUUUCUGUGCUUAAAAACUUUCCUGGCUCCCCAGGAUCUGCGAAGCAGGGCACACGAGACCCUUUGUGAUCUUGUGCCAUCCCGCCCUCCAGCCUCAUCCCCUGAGACCCACAUGGAGGGUUGUCAGAUCUAGUUAAUAAAGAUACAAGAUGCCCAGUGAAAUUUCAGGUGAACAACAUUGUUUUGGUAUCCAUACGUCCCAAAUAUUCCAUGGGGCAUACUUACACUAAAAUGUAUUCACUGUUUAUCUGAAAUCCAAAUUUAAGCAGGCGUCCGGUAUUUUAUCUGGCAACCCUACUCAUGCCAGUCUGACUGAUUACCUUGCUGUUCCCCACCAGUCUCUUCGUGCCUCUGUGAGUGCCUGAUAACCUCUCCACCCUGCCCCUUCUCCACAUGAUAUUCUGCUGUUCUGCUUCAAAAGCCAGUCAUGGGGUUCUGGAACUCCACAGGUGUGAGCUUGGGAUCCGAGGUGCCAGGCGGGGGCCUGGCCACCUGUGUGCCUUGUUCAGUAUCUAGGCUUCUGCCCCAGUUCCUGUUCAUUGUUUUCAUUCUCCCUCCUGGAACUGGAGUUCUGCCCUGAACCCCAGUUUACUUGGCUGGGACCUACAUACGGUUUUGCAGUCUUGCCAACUCUCUCCCUGCGACUGUGGGGCUGGAUCCUUUCCCCCAGCUGCUCGUUGGGCUCCUGACCUAAACUGGAUGGAUCAUUGAAACCUGCCUCAGAUACUGCCACCUUCCUGUCUUGCGUACUACAAAAGAUGGACAAGACACUCAGGUGAGAGCAGGUCUGUGAGAGUGGUUUAUAGAGUGUAAAGCUCCAUAGUGAUUUAGUUUAGAGACUCAUGUCAAACUCUUCACCUGGUCCUGGGUACGAGAGCCCCGCUUCUGUGGUGAUCUGGAUUUCCCUUGUUUCUGCUCCUGCCUAGUGAUGUAUGAUGCUGAAAAGGAUGUGAAAAUUUUCCAAAUGUCCUCUAAUUUUGGUUAGUGCGUUCAGCCACGCUGGCUAUUACAUUAUGAAUGGAUCUGGACCAGCCGCUUUAAUUUUUAAAAUUUUAAUCUUGUGAUCCAGGACACACCUCUUGAUAACUGAAACCGAAGUCUCGUGAACUCUGUCAUACCCUGAAUGUGUGUAAUGAACUCUGCUAUUUUCUGUUCUAUUUCAUCUUUUAAAAGCUGGUCAACCCACCAAAUUAAUUUCAUAACCCCCUAACGCGUUGACACUUGCAUUUUGCUACACACUGAUCUGUACUGUCCAUUGAGAUUUCCUGUGUUAGCCAAGCGACUGGAGCACUUGUCAAAUGUCUAUGUCAUUUGGUGCUGCCUCCCGUAGGAACCACCUUGCCCACAAAGGGAGCUGAGGCCACCUCACUGAGGUCAGUCACAGUUGCUCCUGCCGAAUGGUCAGCGAGCAGAGUAUGGUGGCUGGACUUUCUGAGCUGCCUCGGGUUAAUAUAUAAAAUUCCUUCAAGGCCGUUUAUAAAGAGGGAGAGCUGCAAGAUGGUCACAGAUGACAACUACAUCCAUCUUAGAAUAGAGGGAUACUAUGUGGGGGCAAUUUUUUCUCAGACAUUUAAAAUUAUUCCUGGUUGAGUUAAAGAGAUUCUGAGGUUUCUGAGAUUUCACAUUGAUUUCAGAGAUAAAAUAUGAAUGAAAGCUCUGUCACUCACUGCUAUGAUUUUGUUUUCCCUAAAUGGUGGGCAGGCUAAUCCGACAUCAGACUGUUUAAGAAGCUGGGCCACUGUAGAUUCCAGAGAAAAUAAGGAAAAUAUAUGGGAAGGAAGAUAUGGUUCAAAUGGAGUAGAAAGAAGACAAAUUAUCUAAGGAAUUCUUGUGAUACAGGUAGUCAGUCCCGCUGCUAGAAUUCAGGGUUUUCUCUCCCCUCACCCUCUUCUCUUACUCGGGGCUGCCUCAUUCCUUUUUCUUUAUGAGAUGGUUUUAGUUUCGUUUGUUUUCUUGGCCUCAAAAAGACCAGUUUGAGAUCUGUGGUGGCACAAAAGCUAGAUUGGAGACAAUUUAAGAGAGAACAGGAGAAGAGGAAUUCCAGGCUGCUACUAUAGACAACCGUUUAGCUACAAGUGGUUACAGAGAAAUAAGAUGGUAACCAAACGCAGGAAAUAGAGUCAAGGGGAGAUUUUUGUUUCUUUGUCUUUAAAGUGCUUGCAAUGAUCUGUUUGUAUACUGAUGGAAAUCAUCCAGUAGAGGAAAACCCAUGAUGUAGGAUAGAAAGGAAGGAUUUGCUGGUCUGCUGUUCUUGAGUCUGCUAGAGGGUGGGACCUCGUGCACAAGUGGAAGCUUUCCCAUAGGAGCCGAGAGUGCAUCCUGACUGGCAGGAGGCGAGGCAGGGUCUAAGGGGUUCAUCUGUAUGGACGUGUGGAUGCCGUAAGAGUGAGUGGAAGCUCUCUUCUGAUUCUUCAGUUUUCUCAAUGAGGAAAGAAGAAGUCAUCAGCUGAGAGUGAGGAUGACGGAGAAGAGAGGAGUGGGUGCGAAACGUCCUUUGGCAGAAAGGGAAUGUAAGAAAACGAAUGCAUCAGGGAGACGGAGGAUGUUAGCUGGGAAACAGGGUCUUCUUAAGUUCCUGGUGACAAGUUUAAAGUGAGACUGGUGUAGGUAGAAAGUUGGGUUUCACCAGGGUCGUGAUUUUGCCUACCAGUGUGGCAGAAUUACGGUGAUCAAGGGAGUUCGGGGAGUGAUUAUAUGUAUUGACCCUGAAUUUUAGGCUGAGUAAAGGGGGAAUAGAGUGCCUCAAAGAGUGAGGGAAGGUGAAAAAAUGGUGCCUAAGAGGCUCCUCCCUCUGUUCUUUGCAUGACUGGCUCCCUCUUGUGGUUCAGUCAUUCUCUGAUAACACCCUUUUAACUCUCUUCGGAAUACCUAAGGUGUUUUCUUUUUACUUUCUUUUAUCUGUCUGUCUGUCUGUCUCUCUCUCUCUCUUUCUCUCUAUCUAUCUAUCUUUCUUUCUUUCUUUUUAUCCAUCUUUCUCUGUAUCUGUCUCUGUAUCUAUCUCUGUAUCCAUGUAUCUGUCUGUUUCACACUACUAGAAUAUAAAGUCCAUGAGAGCAAGGAGCUUGUCUGUAACGUUCAUUAUUUUAUAGCCACAGCACUUAUUUGGCACAGGAAAGACCAAAAAGUAUUUGCUGGAAUGAUGAAUGACUAGGAUAUGGUUUUAAGAUCUUCACCAUCCCGAUCAUGCUCUUCUGCACAUGCUCCUGUUUGUCAGUUUUCUCCUUCUAACCUCCACCAAGAGAAAGAAGCUCCCUCGCCCAGGGUUCGAGCUGCUUGCUGAACCAUCCGCUUUGGCUCUCCUAGGAGGCCUGCCUUCUGAGCGUGUGGAGAGGAGACCUCAGGAGAACACUACCGCAGAGUUAGGAGGCACCACAUAUUUCAGAGGGGAGACAGAAAGGGCGCCACCAAGACACAAUAGCUUUCUGGUUUGUUUUAUUUAAAACAUCUUUAUUGAGGCUUAAUUUAGAUACCAUCAAAUUCACCCAUUUUAAAUGUAAACCUUGUUGAAUUUUAGUGAGUUUAUGCAAUUAUACAACCAUCACAAUGAUUCAGUUUUAGAGCACUUUUAUUACCGUGAAAAUUCCCCUGUGCCUGUUUGCAAUCCAUCUCUGCCCCCAACCCAGCCCUAGGCAACCACUGAUUUUUCUGUCUAUAGUUUUGCCUUUUCUAGAAUUUUCAUAUAAAUGGAAUCAUGCAACAUGUAGUCUUCUGUGUCUGCCUCCUUCCGUUUAGUAUAAUGCUGUUAUUGUGAGGAGUAUUCCACUCUAUAGAUACACAGCAUUUUGUUUAUCGAUUCACCAGUUGAUGGACAUUGUUUCUAGUUGGGGCUGUUAUGGGUAACACUGCUAUGAACAUUUGUGUACAAGGCUCUGUGUGGACAUACAUUUUCAUUUCUCUUGGGUCUAUACCUAGGAGUUGAAUUGCUAAGUUGAAUGAUAAGUGCAUGUUUAACUUUUUUAAAACUGCAAACAGAUUUCCAGAGUGGCUGUCCCAUUUUACAUUCCCACUAGCAAUGGAUGUGUUUCUCCAUGUCCUCACCAACACUUGGUCAAAGUCUUUUUUGUUUUAGCCAUUCUAGUAGGUGUGUAGUGGUAUCUCAUUUUGGUUUUAAUUUGCAUUUCUCUGAUGACUAAUGACAUUAAGCAUUUUUUCGUGUACUUAUUUGCCAUAUAUAUAAUUUUUUUUUUAAAGACUGGCAUCUGAGCUAACAUCUGUUGCCAAUCUUCUUUUUUUCCUUCUUCUCCCCAAAGCCCCCCAGUACAUAGUGGUAUAUCCCAGUUGUAGUUCCCUCUGGUUGUGCUAUAUGGGAUGCCACCUCAGCAUGGCCUGAUGAGUGGUACCAUGUCCUCGCCCAGGAUCUGAACCAGCGAAACCCUGGGCUGCUGAAGCGGAGCAUGCGAACUUAACCACUCGGCCAUGGGGUUGACCCCUGCCAUUUAUAUGUUAUAUCUUCUUUGGUGAGGUGAUUAUUUAACUAUUUUGUGC